UACAGAGGCUGCAAGCGUUAUUCGGAUUCACUGGGCGUAAAGGGUGCGCAGGCGGCCAAGUGUGUGAGGCGUGAAAGCCCGGGGCUUAACCCCGGAAUUGCACCUCAAACUACAUGGCUAGAGCAUUGGAGAGGGUAGCGGAAUUCACGGUGUAGCAGUGAAAUGCGUAGAUAUCGUGAGGAACACCAGAGGCGAAGGCGGCUACCUGGACAAUUGCUGACGCUCAGGCACGAAAGCGUGGGGAGCAAAAGGG
rnacentral:rRNA from 1 species